AUUCAUUAAUGAUAAUAAUUCUCACUGAGUGCUUUCAAUACUCCAGUCAACACUGCAGCUCUAACUAACCUCUCACUCUCUCGCUCUCCCUUCACUUCUUCCUUCUAUACUGGGAGGACGUCCUAUGGUGGAGCCUCCUCUUCCGGUAGACCAUCAUCAUCUCCUUUGUUUAGAAAGAGAACUAGAAACGAGACCAGCCCAACUAGUGUACAAGUUGGUCCCGUGAAGCGAGCAGUCAAGCCACACCCUCACACCUCACAGUUUCCAGUGGGCGGGGCCAGUCACACGGCUCUUAAGAUUCUCGAUACCCUCCAGUCUCUAAGCACUCCGCUACAAGACGCUAGGAAACUCCCACUAAGAGCAACAGUGAGUGAUCAUUAUUACGUGUACAUUGUACAGUAUAACCUCGAUUAUCCGGACCCCUUUGUCCAUCAGGUGGUCCGGAUAAGUGAAAAGUCCGGAUAAUUGAAAAGUCCGGAUAAUUGAAAUGACCUUUAAAACCUUCAUAUACUUACUCCAAAGAAAAGUUACAACCUUAAUCAGCCAUAAGGAAGCUAAAUCCAAGCCUUGUUACUAGUAGAAAGCCAUUAAUCAG